rnacentral:rRNA from 1 species
CCUACGGGCGGCUGCAGUGGGGAAUAUUGCACAAUGGGCGCAAGCCUGAUGCAGCCAUGCCGCGUGUGUGAAGAAGGCCUUCGGGUUGUAAAGCACUUUCAGCGGGGAGGAAGGCGGUGAGGUUAAUAACCUCAUCGAUUGACGUUACCCGCAGAAGAAGCACCGGCUAACUCCGUGCCAGCAGCCGCGGUAAUACGGAGGGUGCAAGCGUUAAUCGGAAUUACUGGGCGUAAAGCGCACGCAGGCGGUCUGUCAAGUCGGAUGUGAAAUCCCCGGGCUCAACCUGGGAACUGCAUUCGAAACUGGCAGGCUAGAGUCUUGUAGAGGGGGGUAGAAUUCCAGGUGUAGCGGUGAAAUGCGUAGAGAUCUGGAGGAAUACCGGUGGCGAAGGCGGCCCCCUGGACAAAGACUGACGCUCAGGUGCGAAAGCGUGGGGAGCAAACAGGAUUAGAUACCCUGUAGUC